UGAAGAAGCGGGUUCAAUGUUUGGGGGUUUGGGACUGAUUUCGUAAUGUUUUGUCAAGUGAGGGUCUAUUUUGUUUACUUUAUCAAACUUAAUAGAAAUUAGGGCUUUUUAUUUGCUUCGUCAGUUGACUAAUCGAGCAAGGAAGGAACGAUGGAAGCAGAUAGAACACGAACGAAUGAAAGGCAGAUGCGAAUGAACAACAACGGGCAAGAAGGAAGCACGAAGGCGGCAGUGCUGCAUCCAGUUCCUUGCUCGUCGCAGGUCACGAAGAGGACCGAAGGAAGAACAAGCUCGCAGCCAGUACGGGGUUUUUGUCGAUCUAUCGCGAGAAGAGAGCGUCUCCAGUGGUAGACGGGGCCGAAGAUAAUGAGGGAAGAGCAGCGAGGCUGCGCUCUUUCUGUCCGAUUGCGAGGAGCGAAAAGGGAAAGCGAUUCAGUGGUUUUUGGAUCGAGGGUUUGGUGUGGCUAAGAGGUUGCGAAGGGAAGGAAAAGGGGAACAGAAGCAGCGGUGCUGCUGGUGGUCUCGGAGAAAGAAGGAAUAAAUCAGUGGUUGUUUGGCUUAGUUGUGAUCGACGGGAAGGGGGGAAAGGAAACGAGGAUGUUCUUCUUGUUUGCAGGUUGUGGGUUGUGCUUGAGUGUGGUCUUGGUUGAAGGAAGAGUGCAAGCAAGCUUGAGAAAUGCCAACAUAUUUUUUUUGUCUGUAAUUUUAGAUGUACAAGAAUUAAUAGCUGUCAUUUAUGUAUAAUAUGUGUAUUUUGUGUGAAAUUUGUAAAUAAUGAAUUUCCUCAUAGUAUAUGUAUUGAUAUAUUAAUUUAAUUGGACAUUUAUUUGUGUGUA